GACGAGCUUAUUCCAAAUCGAGACACCAAUGUGACCAGUGCUAAGAAGUUCCAAAAGAGGAAGGACGAUCCAUAAAGAAAAAUAAGCAUACAAAUAAAAGUAACUGAGAAAGGCCCAAAAGUUUGAACUCUACGCUGAGAAUCGCCUUCUUCAUCACGAUUCAUUCUACACUUCAUGAUCUUGAGUCUGUGUCAAUAUUAUUUCGUACGAUCAAGCCGAUGAGAAAAAUAUUAAUAAUUUACAUAAUAUCUAAAACUGCAUAAAAAGCGAUGGAUAUGCAGUUACCUGUUACUUAUGGAGGAAUAAAAAUAGAGAAUAUCUUAAUGAUAGAUCAAGAGAACGUCUUGAUACGAGAACGUCUUAAAUUGAGCUACCUGGACAUUGCUUUCGAUGUGAUGCUUACAUUAUUAGCAACGUUCAUAUUCACAUAUAUCGAGUAAAGCCGAACAAGACAGUCAAACAAGUAUUAAACCGAUAUAAUGAAGGCUACUAUGAACAUGGAUUCUUAACAACUCGCUACAGCACGAGGAUUAAGUAAAAGUAAAUAUACGCAUAUAUACAAAUAUAUCUAAAACCAUCUAUAAAUCAUUAUGUUUUAUUAUAUGUACAAUAACCUGUAUAUGUUUAUAUACGUAUAUUUGUAUUUGUGUCUUUAUGACCUAUCUCUGUUCAACUUUAUAUUUCUAAAUAUGUGAAUCAAAUUAAAAUUAACCCUAUAUAUGUAUAGAACAUAUGUAGGGUAAUUUUAAUUUAUUCAAAAUGUUUAGUAACAUCUAAACGAACAGUCUCUAUAUAUUUGGAAUAUAUAGGGUUAAUAAAUAUGUGUGUGUGUGUGUGUGUUUGUCUGUGUAUGUUUGUACAUAUAUAUAAAUUUAAAUAGAAUUAAAAUUAACCUUUCACAUUCGGUUUCCUCUCGGAUGUUAGCUUCAUUUGAUUUAUUCGUAUUUGAUUUAUAUAAAUUUGUAGAAUUUGAGGAACAUAUUCUUUUGCAAAAAAAUUAAAAUUUUAUUCCUUAUAAUUUUCUAAUAUUAUAAAUUUCACAGCAAUUUUUUUAUAGCAUUAUAAUUGAUAUCAUUAUUUAUGAGAUUUCAUUGAUUUUCUGGAAAACCAUCUGAGGGACCAUCCGGGUGCGAAAGGUUAAAAAAAUAAUUAAAAAAUGAAGUAAAAUAAAAAAAAAAUUGAAAAAGAAGAAAAAAGAAUUAAUAUUAAAUAAAAGAAGACAAAAAAAAAUUAAAAGAUAAAUGAGAAUCAAAAAAAUAUUAAAAUUAAAAGAAAGAAGAAAGCAUUAAAAAAGAUUAAAAUUUGAAAAAAGGAAAAUAAAAAAAUUAAAAAAAAUAUUUAAUUAAAAAAAAAACAUUUAAAAAAAAAACAAACAAAUAAAUAUGUAUCGAGAAAUUGUACCGAUCAUUUUCAUAUUUAUAACUCUUUGAUACCUGUCUUUAAUUCGUGUGAAUCUAUGUGUUAUCUAUAUGUAUAUUUUAAUUUUUUAAAAAUAUUCGAAUUUGUUUAAUUCGAUAUCGAUUUCAUUAUUUUAAAAAUCUUAAAUGAAACUGCUAUUUAAACUGAUACUUCAAUUUCUCGAAUCAGUUUUAUAAUACAAAAAUAUAUAUUCGAGUAAAAUUAUUAAAAAUUCGACUAAAAUUUCGAGUAAAAUUUAUUAAAUAAUAUAUUAAAAUAUAUUUGUUCUUAUUAUUACGUUUAAUUAAGUAUAAUAAAUUAGAUAUAACUUAAUUUUUAGAUAAUAUAAUAAUUAUAUUAGUAAUGUUGUUCAUUCGUUAAACAAAGUGCCUUUAAUUAUAUUAAUGUAAUAAUUCGAGUCAAUUUCCAUAAAAAAAUGAUAUUAAUUAACGACAUUACUAAUUAAUUUAUUCGGUUGGGGAAAAACAUUUUUUCGUAUUUUAAUGUAAAAGUCAAUUUUUUCCAAUUGUUUGCAUUAGAGAUUAUAAUGAAUAGUUUGAAACAGCGUCAACGAUUGAUCCUCCUUCCUUCGAUCAUGAUCAUUUUCAUACAUUAUCGUCCAUGAUGAGCCGUUUCAAGAAUGCUUUAAUUUUAUUACAUUUUAGUAACGAUUCCUAGAUAGAAAUUCGUUCCAUUAAAUUUUCCAUUAUUUAAUCAUGCGACACACAAACAUUGGCUCUUUUUUCGUAUACAGCCUUCUUCAAACGGUUUAAAACUGUUUCGUGAUUGAUGGUUAGUUCCUUGGCGAUGUCAUUUGGAUCACUUGCAUCAUAACUUCCAAAUUGAAAACGUUUGAUGUAGCUUUGUGCGACGUCCAUUGAUAACGCAUCGAUCAAUAAAUAUCACAAAUUUUUUUGUUAGUUGGAGUCGCAUUCUUACCAUUCUUGUAAUACAAUUAAAAAGUGAAUCUUCUUUAUUCCUUUUCAAUUUUAAGACGUAAUAAUUUUUAAAUAAAUAAACGAAUAUAUUUAUGACCAUUCUACAAAUACUCAAUGAUAUGUCUACUUACGAACGCGAGGCAUUAUAGCCAAAGUGAUUGUUUAAUAUUAUUCAAAUUAUAUCACAGUAAUGUCAUCGGCUGGUAAAAUACGAAGAAACAUUUUGCCCGAAUUAACUCAAUAUAAAUAAAGAAUUAAUUUAUAAAUUGAAACGAUAACUAAGUCUCAACCAUUUUUGUAAAUUGUAAUGUAAUGUAACUACGAUGGUUGGACUUGUACUGACCUUAUUGUUAAUUUUAUUACUGUUCUUUGUGUGACUAUUACUUAUGUAUAUAAUUUGAGAUUAGAGAAUAGUAUGAUUCAAUAUCGAUAAUGUCACCUAUCGAAAAAUUAGAAGAUUUAGAAGGUAACUGUAACACCAAUUCGGUAGGAGAACCAGAGGACCGGAUUUUUUUUCACCUCUUUGGUUCCAAAUCUAUUCAAAAAGUGUUAUUAAGCGAAAAAGUAAGAGAAGCUAUACGCGAAAGCUGUGACGUACCGAAAGAAUACAAAAAUUCUGCAUCUAAGACAAUCGAUUGUCUAAAAAGUAGCACAAAAUCUUUCGGUAGUAGUUGGAGUAUCUACGACUACAAAAAUUAUGGGUGUUACUGGAUGUUCGACAAAAUUGGUUUUAUAAAAACAGCGAGUCUAAGCAACACUGAAAUUACUCAUUAUUCUAAAAUUCUUCAAGGGACAUCAUCCGAUUUACGAAGAAAAUCGGAAGGACUUGUCGCAACCAAAGGUUCAUCAGCUGCUCGUAUAGAUUCUUCUCAGAAAAGUUCAAAUGAUCAUAUUGGACAAUCAAGAAUCAAACGACCAGAAUUUCUUUAGCUAUAAGUUUCCGAAUCUGAUUAACAAGUGUUAUCAAGCGAAGAAGUAAAGGAAGCUAUAUGCGAAAGCAGUGACGUACCGAAAGAAUACAAAAAUUGUGCAUUUAAGACAGUCGAUUGUCUAAAAAGUAGCACAAAAUCGUUCGGUAAUAGUUGAAGCAUCUACGACUACAAAAAUUAUGGGUGUUACUGGAGAUUCGACAAAAUUGGUUUUAUAAAAACAGCGAGUCUAGCCAACAUUGGAAUUAUACAUUAUUGUAAAAUCCUCCAAGGAACACCAUUCAAUUUCAAUUGGCUGAAAGAAAGUCCAGUCCUCUGGUUCUUCCACCAUUCGAUCGGAGUCAGUUAUCUUCUAAAUCUUCUAACUGGUCGGCAAGUAACGUUAUUGAUAUUUAAUCAUACUAUCCUCUAAUUUUAAAUUAUAUACAUAAAUAAUAGCCACACAAAGAAACAGUAACAAAAUUAACAAUAGAGAACUGUACAGAACCAAUCAUCGCAGUUACAUAAUAUUGUAAUUUACAAAAAUGUUUGAAACUUAGUUCUCUGUGCAUUUUAUGUGUUAAUUUUUUAUUCAUAUUGAAUUAAUUUGGGUGAAAUGUUUCUUCGUAUUUUACCGGCCGAUGACAUUCCUUUGAUAUAAAUUUAAUAAUAUUAAACAAUCAAAUUGGCAAUAAUUCCACGCGUUCGUAAGAUGACUUAUCAUUCAGUAUUUGUAGAAAGAUCAUGAAUAUAUUCGUUUAUUUACAUAAAAGUUAUUACAUCGUAAAAAUGGGAGAGUAUAAAGAAAAUAUAUUUUCAAAUUUUAUUACAAGGCAGAUAAGAAUGCGACACCAGCUAUUAAAAAAAUUUGUGAUAUUUAUUGAUCGAUGCGUUAUCAAUGUACGUCGCAUAAAGCUACAUCAAACGUUUUCUAUUUGAAAGUUAUGAUGUACGUGAUGCAAAUGACGUCUACAAGGAACUAAACAUCGAUCAUAAAACAGUUUUAAACCGUUUGAAGAAGGCUGUAUACAAAAAAAGAGCCAAUGUUUGUGUGUCGCAUGAUUAAAUAAUGGAAAAUUUAAUGGAACGAAUUUCUAUCUGGGAAUCGUUACUAAAACAUGCACGAAAUCGAAGCAUUCUUGAAACGACUCAUCAUGGGCGAUAAUGUAUGAAAAAGAUCAUGAUCGAAGAAAGCAGAAUCAAUCGUUGUUGCUGAUUCGAAGUAUUGAUUAUAAUCUCUGUUGUAAAGAAUUGGAAAAGACUUACUUUUGCAUUAAAAUACGAAGAAACGGUUUUCCCCAACUUAAUAUAUUAAUUAGUAAUGUCAUUAAAUAAUAUCAUUUCUUUAUGGAAAUUGACUCGAGUUAUUACAAUAAUAUAAUUAAAGACAUCUUGUUUAACGAAUGAAUAACAUUGCUGAUAUGAUUAUUACAUUAUUUAAAAGUUAGGUUAUAUCUAAUUUAUUAUAUCUAAUUAAAUAUCAUAAUAAUAAUAAAUAUAUUUCAAUAUA